AUUGAACGCUGGCGGCAUGCCUUACACAUGCAAGUCGAACGGCAGCACGGGGGGUAACCCCUGGUGGCGAGUGGCGAACGGGUGAGUAAUAUAUCGGAACGUGUCCUGUAGCGGGGGAUAACCUAUCGAAAGAUGGACUAAUACCGCAUACGACCUACGGGUGAAAGCGGAGGACCGCAAGGCUUCGCACUAUCGGAGCGGCCGAUAUCGGAUUAGCUAGUUGGCGGGGUAACGGCCCACCAAGGCGACGAUCCGUAGCUGGUCUGAGAGGCCGAUCAGCCACACUGGAACUGAGACACGGUCCAGACUCCUACGGGAGGCAGCAGUGGGGAAUUUUGGACAAUGGGCGCAAGCCUGAUCCAGCCAUGCCGCGUGAGUGAAGAAGGCCUUCGGGUUGUAAAGCUCUUUCGGCGGGGACGAAACGGUUCGUGCUAAUACCACGGACUACUGACGGUACCCGCAGAAGAAGCACCGGCUAACUACGUG
rnacentral:rRNA from 1 species